CCACCACAGUGGCUUCUAAGCUUGUUUCCUACCAGCCAACCAGUCAUUCAGCAAUAUCUGCUUUAAAAACUAGAACUCAAGAGACCUGUGUGUAGAAUGAGUUUCCAAGUGCCAUCACCCGUCUAACCCUUCUAUCUUUUCAACCUUUAUACAGGCAAAGUUGGGUGGAGACAGGCCUCAGAUUCCCCAGAACAGAACAGGUUUUGCUCCUCUGCUGGAGGAAACUGUCACUCUGACAGACAGAUACUGGAAUUCACCACAAACCUGUCGGCUAAAGCAGAGUGUCUCGCCUCCCUCAACAACAGGAAAGUUGACAGCUGCAGUACUGGAUGCUGUGCCAUAAUGUCCCUGACAUCUGUUACAAUGACAACAUACAUCACAGUGGAUGAGUAGCAGUGCCACAGGUAAUCACAGCUGUGGGGAUAUCUUUAAAAAAAACCUCCAUCAACAGCUCUGCUAUCAACUAACUGAGCUUCAUGUUUUUCUGUUUUCUUUAAUGUAUUUUUGAUAUUUUAUUAUUAAUUCUCCACUCCCU